rnacentral:lncRNA from 1 species
UCGGGAUUUUGAGUAGUUAAGUUUAGAAUUCUUUAUAUCAUAAAUAUUAACUAAUGUUGUCUUUGAUUUAGACUAUUUUAUGCUUAGGAGUUCUACCGUAGGUUACAACGAAAAAAAUUAGGUUUAGGAUUAUUCCAAAAUCCGUAACAUGAAAUCAUGAUAAUGUCAAUGAUUUAGGAGAAAAGAUUCUUCAAUGCAUUGUUCCAUCCUUCAAGAGGAAUUAUUAUUCUGUGGCCCUGUUUUUUAUGCACGAGAAUAAAAACUUUGUUUGUUCAUUCAUGAACUAUGUACCAUCCUUAACACAACUUAUAUCCUUAAUCCAAGAAGAUCUUGAUUUCGAAUAGUUUUAAUAGUUCUACUCACGUCAAUACAAUGGAAA